GACGAGCCUCACGAACGUUAUUCGGAAUCACUGGGCUUAAAGGGUGCGUAGGCGGUGUGGAAAGUCGGAUGUGAAAUACCUCAGCUUAACUGAGGAACUGCACUCGAUACUUCCAUGCUAGAGUAAGACAGAGGUGAGUGGAACUGAGGGUGGAGCGGUGAAAUGCGUUGAUAUCCUCAGGAACACCGGUGGCGAAGGCGACUCACUGGGUCUUUACUGACGCUGAUGCACGAAAGCUAGGGUAGCAAACGGGG
rnacentral:rRNA from 1 species